rnacentral:rRNA from 1 species
UACGGAGGAUCCGAGCGUUAUCCGGAUUUAUUGGGUUUAAAGGGAGCGUAGGCGGAUUAUUAAGUCAGUUGUGAAAGUUUGCGGCUCAACCGUAAAAUUGCAGUUGAUACUGGUAGUCUUGAGUGCAGCAGAGGUAGGCGGAAUUCGUGGUGUAGCGGUGAAAUGCUUAGAUAUCACGAAGAACUCCGAUUGCGAAGGCAGCUUACUGGACUGUAACUGACGCUGAUGCUCGAAAGUGUGGGUAUCAAACAGC